UACGUAGGUGGCGAGCGUUGUCCGGAAUCACUGGGCGUAAAGCGCGCGCAGGCGGCGAUCUACGUCUGGGGUGAAAGCCCGGAGCUCAACUCCGGGACUGCCUUGGAUACGGGAUCGCUUGAGGAUCGGAGAGGCAAGGGGAAUUCCACGUGUAGCGGUGAAAUGCGUAGAUAUGCGGAGGAACACCGAUGGCGAAGGCAAUCCCCUGGACCUGUACUGACGCUCAUGCACGAAAGCGUGGGGAGCAAACAGG
rnacentral:rRNA from 1 species